rnacentral:lncRNA from 1 species
CGCUGUCCAUGGGGACAACUAUGCGCUAUUGUACGCAUGUACACAAAACAACAAUGUACACAUGUUUUAGCCAAAUAAACAUCAUCUUUACACAAUUCGAUUAUCAUUUUGCAACAAGUUUAGUAAAACACCAAACAUGUUUUAGCAGCAACACCAAACAUGCCUACAUUAGGAUUACACAUACAACACAAACUACCGUAAUUUUUAGCCGAAUAAAACCAUCAUUCUUACAUCCAUGAUACGUCCAUAUCAUACAAUCAAACCGCAAAAUAAAAUCUUACACCAUCCGAUUAGCAUAAUAUAAUAAGUCUACAUAAUGCAAACACAACACCUAACAUGCAUACAUUAGUCCUCUAACUUCUCACUUCGUCUCAUCCUCCGCAUAAACUGGUACAACCCAAUCCUUGUAUUAAUCCAUAGCAAACUGCUUCCUCAUUAUGUCCACCAAAUCGUCAGUCAUACCAUCCAUGGAUGUGGGUUCCCUAGAGCAUUUAGCUCCAUAAACUUUAUCGCAACAGGCUCACAAUCACCACCACGCCUAUUACACAAGGUACAAAGUAAAAUUAGAGCUGGUUCACCAGGUUCAGAGUACAAAUGUACAACUCAAAGCAAUAUCCAUAUGUACACGUGAGAAUCAGUGUCACAGAAGUGUACACAUGUACACACACAUAACUGAUACCAACAAAAAAAUGAAACUUAGAAAACUCUGCCUACACCACCUCUGUAAAACUGAUACCAACAAAAAAAUGAAACUUAGAAAACUCUGAAAUCGGAACCCUAAUCCUAAAAUCGAAAUCCUGAAUCCUAAAUCCCAAAAUCGAAAUCCCAAACCCUAAUCCCAAAAACGAAAUCCCAGAAUUGAAACACUAACCCAAAACCUUGGGAAUCUUUAACCUCACAUGAGGAUUGAGAUGGAAGCAACCGUAAAUACCCAAACCAAUCAAGAUGUACAUAAUAAAUGGAUCUAACCUUUUGCUUUGACCUUGAAAUCUCUCCUCUUU